GAACGCUGGCGGCGUGCUUAACACAUGCAAGUCGAACGAACCUUCGGGUUAGUGGCGGACGGGUGAGUAACGCGUGAGAAUCUGCCCUCAGGAGGGGGAUAACAGCUGGAAACGGCUGCUAAUACCCCAUAUGCCGCGAGGUGAAAUGAAUUUCGCCUGAGGAUGAGCUCGCGUCUGAUUAGCUAGUUGGUGUAGGUAAUGGCUCACCAAGGCAUCGAUCAGUAGCUGGUCUGAGAGGAUGAUCAGCCACACUGGGACUGAGACACGGCCCAGACUCCUACGGGAGGCAGCAGUGGGGAAUUUUCCGCAAUGGGCGAAAGCCUGACGGAGCAACGCCGCGUGAGGGAUGAAGGCCUCUGGGCUGUAAACCUCUUUUAUCAAGGAAGAAGAUCUGACGGUACUUGAUGAAUAAGCCACGG
rnacentral:rRNA from 1 species